rnacentral:rRNA from 1 species
ACGGGUGAGUAACACGUAGGCAACCUGCCCUCAAGCUUGGGACAACUACCGGAAACGGUAGCUAAUACCGAAUACUUGUUUUCUUCGCCUGAAGGAAACUGGAAAGACGGAGCAAUCUGUCACUUGGGGAUGGGCCUGCGGCGCAUUAGCUAGUUGGUGAGGUAACGGCUCACCAAGGCGACGAUGCGUAGCCGACCUGAGAGGGUGAUCGGCCACACUGGGACUGAGACACGGCCCAGACUCCUACGGGAGGCAGCAGUAGGGAAUCUUCCGCAAUGGGCGAAAGCCUGACGGAGCAAUGCCGCGUGAGUGAUGAAGGUUUUCGGAUCGUAAAGCUCUGUUGCCAGGGAAGAACGCUUGGGAGAGUAACUGCUCUCAAGGUGACGGUACCUGAGAAGAAAGCCCCGGCUAACUACGUGCCAGCAGCCGCGGUAAUACGUAGGGGGCAAGCGUUGUCCGGAAUUAUUGGGCGUAAAGCGCGCGCAGGCGGUCAUGUAAGUCUGGUGUUUAAUCCCGGGGCUCAACCCCGGAUCGCACUGGAAACUGCGUGACUUGAGUGCAGAAGAGGAGAGUGGAAUUCC